rnacentral:misc_RNA from 1 species
UAGACUUCUACAACACGACGCGUGAUCAUUCCGCGCUCGGGCACGUGCCCCCGCUGCUCCACUUCUUCAGUCGGACGCCAGGAACAACGUCAUGAGAAACGACACCUAGGCGCCUCGCCCCCCGCCCCAUUACCUUCUUCGGCCAUGACAAUGCGCGUCGCCGUGGCCGUCUCGGGGCGCGGCAGCAAUCUCCAGGCGCUGCUGCGCGCGCUCGGUCCGGGUGCUCCGGCGCGGGUCGUCCUGGCGCUGUCCGACCGCCCUGAUGCCGGUGCGCUGGAGCGGGCCCGAGAACACGGGGUGCCCGCCGAGGUCCUCUCCGAUCCGGCCGAUGCCGCCGAGUGGCUGACGCGGCUGGAACGAUACGGGACCGAGCUGGUUGUCCUCG